rnacentral:tRNA from 1 species
GGGCCCGUAGCUCAGUUGGUUAGAGCAGGGGACUCAUAAUCCCUUGGUCGCAGGUUCGAGUCCUGCCGGGCCCA